rnacentral:rRNA from 1 species
AGUGAACGCUGGCGGUAGGCCUAACACAUGCAAGUCGAACGGCAGCACAGUAAGAGCUUGCUCUUACGGGUGGCGAGUGGCGGACGGGUGCGGAAUACAUCGGAAUCUACUUUUUCGUGGGGGAUAACGUAGGGAAACUUACGCUAAUACCGCAUACGACCUACGGGUGAAAGCAGGGGAUCUUCGGACCUUGCGCGAUUGAUUGAGCCGAUGUCGGAUUAGCUAGUUGGCGGGGUAAAGGCCCACCAAGGCGACGAUCCGUAGCUGGUCUGAGAGGAUGAUCAGCCACACUGGAACUGAGACACGGUCCAGACUCCUACGGGAGGCAGCAGUGGGGAAUAUUGGACAAUGGGCGCAAGCCUGAUCCAGCAAUACCGCGUGGGUGAAGAAGGCCUUCGGGUUGUAAAGCCCUUUUGUUGGGAAAGAAAAGCAGCAGGUUAAUACCCCGCUGUUCUGACGGUACCCAAAGAAUAAGCACCGGCUAACUUCGUG